rnacentral:rRNA from 1 species
CCCUGCCAUUUGUACACACCGCCCGUCGCUCCUACCGAUUGAAUGAUCCGGUGAAAUCCUCGGAUUGUGACUCAUGGCCUGUGGGUUCGCUUGCAGGUCGGGUUGCGAGAAGUUGCUUAAACCUUAUC